CCCCCUUGAACUAGCUUUUUAGGUAACUUUUAGGUGUGAGUUAGGCCUAGGUCCAUUUUUUUAUCAUGGCAUCAAAAUCUCUCAACCUAAUGUUAGGCCUCCUAUAUGUAUUCACUUUCCAAGGAUUAGCCCUUGGUAUGAAGAGAUAUGUUAAGUACCUCAUAUCAAUUAGAUAUAUGGGUAUGUGCCUCUUAUAAAGAGUUAAGGAAUCCUCCCUUUAACCUAGGUUUUUGGGGGUGAUCUAGACCAAGUCCAUUUUCUUUUCACGACCAACCAAAUUAAUAAUAAAACAAGCUUAGCACAAGAUGCAACAUCAAACGCAAUAGUCAAACAAUCUGGUUGGUUCUAGCAUCAAAAGUUUAAAGAAGUUGGAGAAGCCCACAUAAUACAUAAUUCCAUACAAAAUUUACACCUAAAUAGUAUGAGAUUAUGCAAUGAGUUAAAAGAAGUGAAAAGAUAAUACGGGGAAAUUACAUAGUAUGAGAUUAUGCAAUGAGUUAAAAGAAGUGACUAGAUAAUAGGGGGAAAUUACAUUCUAAGCAAUCAAACAGACAAAAAUACCUAAAUAAGCUAGUUUCCCAUCAGAUGUACGAAGAAGGUUUCCAGGGUGUGGAUCAGCAU
rnacentral:lncRNA from 1 species